UUUGGAGUAAAGUUUCGGCGCUUUAAGAGGGGCCUGCGUCCUAUCAGCUAGUUGGUGAGGUAAAAGCUCACCAAGGCUAAGACGGGUAGCUGGUGUGAGAGCAUGUUCAGCCACCAUGGAACUGAGACACGGUCCAUACUCCUACGGGAGGCAGCAAUUAGGAAUCUUGCGCAAUGGGGGCAACCCUGACGCAGCGACACAGCGUGGAGGAGGAAGGUCUUCGGAUUGUAAACUCCUUUUAUGAGGGACGAAUAGAUGACGGUACCUCUUGAAUAAGUACCUGCUAACUACGUGCCAGAAGCAUCGGUGAUGCGUAGGGUACAAACGUUAUCCGGAGUUAUUGGGCGUAAAGAGAUGCGUAGGCGGCUUAAUAAGUCUAAGGUUAAAACCCACGGCUCAACCGUGGACAAGCUUUGGAUACUGUUAUGCUUGAGAUAUAGAGGGGUGAAUGGAAUUCCGAGUGGAGUGGUGAAAUACGUUGAUAUUCGGAAGAACACCAGUGGCGAAGGCGAUUCACUGGCUAUUAUCUGACGCUAAGGCUCGAAAGUAUGGGUAGCAAAACGGAUUAGAUACCCGUGUAGUCCAUACCGUAAACGAUGAAUGCUAGGUGUUUG
rnacentral:rRNA from 1 species